rnacentral:rRNA from 1 species
GACGAACGCUGGCGGCGUGCUUAACACAUGCAAGUCGAACGAAGAGCGACGGAAGCUUGCUUCUAUCAAUCUUAGUGGCGCACGGGUGAGUAACGCGUAAUCAACCUGCCCUUCAGAGGGGGACAACAGUUGGAAACGACUGCUAAUACCGCAUACGAUCUAACCUCGGCAUCGAGGAUAGAUGAAAGGUGGCCUCUACAUGUAAGCUAUCACUGAAGGAGGGGAUUGCGUCUGAUUAGCUAGUUGGAGGGGUAACGGCCCACCAAGGCGAUGAUCAGUAGCCGGUCUGAGAGGAUGAACGGCCACAUUGGGACUGAGACACGGCCCAGACUCCUACGGGAGGCAGCAGUGGGGAAUCUUCCGCAAUGGACGAAAGUCUGACGGAGCAACGCCGCGUGAGUGAUGACGGCCUUCGGGUUGUAAAGCUCUGUUAAUCGGGACGAAAGGCCUUCUUGCGAAUAGUGAGAAGGAUUGACGGUACCGGAAGAGAAAGCCACGGCUAACUACGUG